rnacentral:rRNA from 1 species
ACGAACCGUACAAACGUUAUUCGGAAUCACUGGGCUUAAAGGGUGCGUAGGCGGCUCAGAAAGUUGGGUGUGAAAUCCCUCGGCUCAACCGAGGAACUGCGCCCAAAACUACUGAGCUCGAGGGAGACAGAGGUAAGCGGAACUUAGGGUGGAGCGGUGAAAUGCGUUGAUAUCCUAAGGAACACCAGUUGCGAAAGCGGCUUACUGGGUCUCUUCUGACGCUGAGGCACGAAAGCUAGGGGAGCGAACGG